rnacentral:rRNA from 1 species
UGGGGAAUAUUGCACAAUGGGGGAAACCCUGAUGCAGCAACGCCGCGUGAAGGAAGACGGUUUUCGGAUUGUAAACUUCUUUUCUUAGUGAAGAAGCAAGUGACGGUAGCUAAGGAAUAAGCAUCGGCUAACUACGUGCCAGCAGCCGCGGUAAUACGUAGGAUGCGAGCGUUAUCCGGAAUUACUGGGUGUAAAGGGAGCGCAGGCGGGACUGCAAGUUGGAUGUGAAAUGCCGCAGCUUAACUGCGGAGCUGCAUCCAAAACUGUAGUUCUUGAGUGGAGUAGAGGCAAGCGGAAUUCCGAGUGUAGCGGUGAAAUGCGUAGAUAUUCGGAGGAACACCAGUGGCGAAGGCGGCUUGCUGGGCUCUAACUGACGCUGAGGCUCGAAAGUGUGGGGAGCAAACAGG